UGAGGAAUAUUGCGCAAUGGGGGCAACCCUGACGCAGCCAUGCCGCGUGAGUGAAGAAGGCCCUAGGGUUGUAAAGCUCUUUCAGAUGCGAAGAUAAUGACGGUAACAUCAGAAGAAGCUCCGGCUAAAUUCGUGCCAGCAGCCGCGGUAAUACGAAUGGAGCGAGCGUUGUUCGGAAUCAUUGGGCGUAAAGCGUAUGUAGGCGGAACAGAAAGUCAGAAGUGAAAUCCCAGAGCUUAACUCUGGAACUGCUUUUGAAACUCCUGUUCUAGUAUCCCGGAGGGGUUGACGGAAUUCCGAGUGUAGAGGUGAAAUUCGCAGAUAUUCGGAGGAACACCAGUGGCGUAGGCGGUCAACUGGACGGGUAUAGACGCUGAGAUACGAAAGCGUGGGUAGCAAACAGGAUUAGAUACCCCCGUAGUCC
rnacentral:rRNA from 1 species